ensembl:snRNA U5 U5 spliceosomal RNA
AUACUUUGGUUUCUCUUCAAAUCGGAUAAAUCUUUCGCCUUUUACUAAAGAUUUUCAUAGAGGGAAACAAAUAUGAGUCUUUAAACCAAUUUUUUGAGCUCUUGUGUAAACAAGGAU